AUUGAACGCUGGCGGCAUGCCUUACACAUGCAAGUCGAACGGCAGCGCGGGGCAACCUGGCGGCGAGUGGCGAACGGGUGAGUAAUAUAUCGGAACAUACCCUAGAGAGGGGGAUAACGUAGCGAAAGUUACGCUAAUACCGCAUACGCACUAAGGUGGAAAGUGGGGAUCUUCGGACCUCAUGCUCAUGGAGUGGCCGAUAUCUGAUUAGCUAGUUGGUGAGGUAAAGGCUCACCAAGGCGACGAUCAGUAGCUGGUUUGAGAGAACGACCAGCCACACUGGAACUGAGACACGGUCCAGACUCUACGGGAGGCAGCAGUGGGAAUUUUGGACAAUGGGGCAACCCUGAUCCAGCAAUGCCGCGUGAGUGAAGAAGGCC
rnacentral:rRNA from 1 species